rnacentral:rRNA from 1 species
GAUGAACGCUGGCGGCGUGCCUAACACAUGCAAGUCGAACGGAAAGGCCCUGCUCUUGUGGGGUUCUCGAGUGCGGAAGGGGUGAGUAACACGUGAGUAUCCUCCCCUUGACUUUGGGAUAACUUCAGGAAACUGGGGCUAAUACCGGAUAGGAGCUUCUGCUGCAUGUUGGGCAUAGGAAAGUUUCGGCGGUUUUGGAUGGACUCGCGGGUUAUCAGCUUGUUGGUGGGGUAGUGGAUUACCAAGCGUUUGACGGGUAGCCGACCUGAGAGGGUGACCAGGGACAUGGGGCCUGAGAUACGGAGCAGACGGGUACGGGAGGCAGCAGUGGGGAGUAUGGCACAAUGGGCGCAAGCCUGUUGCAGCAACGCGGCGUGCGGGAUGACCGCCUUCGGGUUAUGAACAGCUUUCGGCUGUAACGAAGCGUGAGUGACGGUAAUUGAUAAAGAAGCACCGGCUAACUACGUG